rnacentral:rRNA from 1 species
GCAGCCGCCGCGGUAAUACGAAGGGUGCAAGCGUUAAUCGGAAUUACUGGGCGUAAAGCGUGCGCAGGCGGUUUGUUAAGACAGAUGUGAAAUCCCCGGGCUCAACCUGGGAACUGCAUUUGUGACUGGCAAGCUAGAGUGUGGCAGAGGGGGGUGGAAUUCCGCGUGUAGCAGUGAAAUGCGUAGAUAUGCGGAGGAACACCGAUGGCGAAGGCAGCCCCCUGGGCCAACACUGACGCUCAUGCACGAAGGCGUGGGGAGCAAACAGGAUUAGAGACCCCAGUAGUCCCUGUCUCUUAUAC